ACUCCUUCCGCAACCCUAACUCCAACACGUUCGCCACCAUCACCGAGAUCCGAUCCUUCACCCCUCUCUACAUCACCGACAAACCCCCCUCCUAUGCCCUUUUCUUCCCCCACGCGACUCAGCUCCCUCAGCAUGAGAGCGUGCGCCCACGCGCCCCUCUAGGGUUCGCCUCCGCCUACGAUUUCUCUUCCCUCCGCGACCGCACCAAGGACAUCCUCAGCGUCGCCCUAGCCCUCCUCUUCGGCGUCGGCUGCGGCGCCCUCACCGCCGCCACCAUGUACCUCGUCUGGUCCGUCUUCUCCACGCGCCACCGCGCCUCCUCCUUCGACGACUUCUCCUCCGACGACGAAGACGAGAUCGAGAGCCCCAAGAAGCUUGGCUACGUCAAGAUUCCGGCCAUUGAGACCACUACCGCCGUCGCCCCCGCAGCUCCGGCUCCAGCCAAGGG
rnacentral:lncRNA from 1 species